CCAGAAGCUGACGCAGCGUUUGCAGCGCUCAAAGCUCUGCUCUCCACCCAGCCGGUACUUGCUGCCCCAAUCAGUAAAGAGCCUCUGCUGCUGUACAUCGCGGCCACGGGACAAGUUGUCAGUACAGUACUCACGGUCGAGCGGGAAGAAGAAGGAAAGGCCUUCAGAGUUCAGCGCCCAGUCUAUUAUGUGUCUGAAGUUUUGACCCCUUCGAAGCAAAGAUAUCCCCAUUACCAGAAGCUUGUAUAUGGGAUCUACAUGACCACGAAGAAGGUUGCACACUACUUCUCUGACCAUUCCAUUACAGUCGUCAGCGACGCUCCACUGUCAGAGAUCUUGCACAACAGAGAUGCAACUGGUCGAGUGGCUAAGUGGGCGAUUGAACUCCUUCCCCUAGAUAUCAAGUUCGAAGCAAAGAAGGCUAUCAAGUCCCAAGCAAUCGCAGAUUUCGUCGCCGAGUGGAUUGAACAGCAA
rnacentral:rRNA from 1 species